rnacentral:rRNA from 1 species
AUUGAACGCUGGCGGAAUGCUUUACACAUGCAAGUCGAACGGCAGCACGGACUUCGGUCUGGUGGCGAGUGGCGAACGGGUGAGUAAUGUAUCGGAACGUGUCCAGUCGUGGGGGAUAACGUAGUGAAAAUUACGCUAAUACCGCAUACGAUCUAUGGAUGAAAGCGGGGGAUCGCAAGACCUCGCGCGAUUGGAGCGGCCGAUAUCAGAUUAGGUAGUUGGUGGGGUAAAGGCCCACCAAGCCAACGAUCUGUAGCUGGUCUGAGAGGACGACCAGCCACACUGGAACUGACACACGAUCCAGACUCCUACGGGAGGGAGCAGUGGGGAAUUUUGGACAAUGGGCGAAAGCCUGAUCCAGCCAUUCCGCGUGCAGGAUGAAGGCCCUCGGGUUGUAAACUGCUUUUGUACAGAACGAAAAGGUUUCUACUAAUACUAGGAGCUCAUGACGGUACUGUAAGAAUAAGCACCGGCUAACUACGUGCCAGCCGCCGCCGUAA